UCAUUUAGCGUCCGUCGUCUUGAUUAAAUGUCAGAAAGGCACACACUGUUUCAGCACAGCGGAGCUGGGCACACACAUAUGACUGAUUGGCUGUGUGAAUGUGGGUUAUAUUUGAGCGUGUGGGUGUUUAGCUGGAACAUUCACAGCUCCUCUAAGCACACGGCAAGCUUUCUAAUACUUCAAUAAUUUAUUCGCCGGACCAGCAGCUAUCCAGCGCUAUAAGAAAUUUACAUAUUUCUCUCUCACAUAUACUUGACAUGCACAAGCGAAUAUACACAUGUAAGUGCAUAUACUGUAAAUAUGAAAUGUAUACAGUAAUGGCGAUGUUGUGUGAAUCACCGAUCUUUAUCAUGUAGACUCUGGAAAGGUGCCAUCUUUUGCUGCAUGCUAUAAAAGGAAACACACGCUGAAUUCCCUCUGUGCCGAGUAAACAUCUUUCCCAACAGCCUGAUUACAUGUAAGGUCAAGGGCACUUUAAUCCAAAUGUAUUUUCCGAAAUCCAGACACAAACAAGCAGCUACGCACAUGGAUCUGGAGGUCUGCCACCUCUGUGCAAUUAUUAGGGGAGUUCAGAGGAUCUAUCGCUGCAGUGCAUCAGGGGGACAUCAUCUGGGAGACAACCAGGAACAGUGUAUCUGUUUUUGUGAUGAUGAGGGUAUGCUAAGGUCUGUCCUGUUAAUUGGGCCUUGCGGAGAGGGAGACACCCAUAGGAAUUGAGUCCUAACAGUCAAAAAUGGUGUGAAAAUGCAAGUAAAUUUCAUUUUAAGAACAUGCAGCUUUUUACUUUUCAACAAAAUUCCCUUAGCUAAAAAGGGAAUUUCUUACUGACAAAGCCCAGCAUGUGCUCUUCUAUGGAUGAAACAACAUUAUUUAUAAGUCUCUUUUAUUAUUCCACUCUGUCUCUUAUCUUCAGAUGUAAACACAAUGAGAUACCCACAGUGGUAAAGGAAUGAUUUGGCCUGAAGCACCACCUCAGCUUUUAGAGGUACAUUUAAAAACCUUCUUUUUUGGGGUGGUAUAGUUCUCCUCUUCUGCAUUGUAUGCUAUUUAUAGAGCUCUGAAACGGCAGCAAUAAAUGGGUCAUGGUGAGACGGCAGCACAUCCAGUCCCGCUCCUCCGCACCUCUCAAACCUUUGCAUUUAGUCUGGGUUAAUUAGGUAGCAUGAGACUGGAACCACUGGUUUCACACCACAGCCAAACAUAACACCGGCAGGUACGCCUGCCGCUGUGGCGCACACUUGACAAGAAAGAAGAGAAUGAGAGACACUGAGGCAUUGAAACAUAAACAGGAGGGUGUAGGUUUAUGGAGAGAUGGGAUCUUAAGGAUCAGAGGCUGAACAAUAUACAGACUAGGAAAUGCAAGUGGAAAUGUGGCAUAAAUAAUAUAUAAAAGCAUUGCAAAUGUCAUAAAUAAUCACAGAUCCAAAGAAUGUAUUUCAUAAAUAAUUUCUAAAAUAAUCCCAAAAGCAUAGUUUCAGUCCAGAGAGAACCAAAUAAAUCAGGAGAUCAAAUAAUCCUGAACGAGGCUUAAAUGUAAUACUUGAACCUGUCGUUUUUCUCGAACAAAGCUGGAAUUUAACUUCAUUUUAGAACUUGACUAAAAACUCUUUGUGUGCCCAUAGUUGUCAGAUCUUGUUGUGAACAAAUGACUCAUAUGAACUGAUUCUUUUUAAUGAAACAGCUUUGAACUCAAUUGUGGGUAAAUCUCUCAGUUAGUGAAUGGUAAAGAACUGCUACUGAGUCAUUUUUCCAUAAUGUCCCCAAAUGAACCGAUACUGUGAUGUAAACAUAAUUUUGUUAUCGUAAUGAAUUAAUAAAGCUAUUCAAAAUUUGACAAAACUAAUUUUUAUUUUUCUUAAGCAUAUGAGGUCAAAUUAUAGGUUGAUUCAACCGUAAGGGAAAGUUUACUUGGGUGGCUUGUUGGAAAAUUUUAGUAUUAUUUGUUUUUUGUUUUUUUCAAUAGGCAGAUUUUUUAAUUGAGUGAUGCAUAAUACAGUAUGGCAUAAAUGCAGUCAUAAUCACAAGAAUAUUUCAUUUUGGCUUCCUCUUUUUUUAUUUUUAUUUUUCUUUGGUUAUGCUAACAUAAAGGGAACAUUUAAUUUGAUCAUUUGGCAAACAAUAUGGAAAUGUUACUUUUGGAUGUUACAUUUACAUUUACUCAUUUAGCAGUUGCAUCCAAAGCGACUUACAACUGAGGAAUACAAUAACCAAUACAUCAUAAAGAGGCAAAUAAACACAGGAAGUGCUUGUAAUACAAAGUUUCAGACACUGUUCAGAUAAAUUUUUCGGAUGAAGUCAAAUGGAGAUGAAAGAAAUGAGUUUUCAGCUGUUGCUUGAAAAUUGUCAGGGAUUCAGCAUUCCGGAUGGGGGUGGGAAGAUUGAUUGUACAAUAUGGAAGUCCAGACAGAAGAGCAUUGCAGUAGUCCAGCCUAGAAAUGACAUGAGCCUGGACAAAAAGUUGUGAAGCAUGCUCCAUUAUAAAGGGCAUGAUCUUUCUGAUUUUAUGCAAUGGAAACCUGCUAGAUUGAGCAGUUUUUGCGAUGUGGUCUUUGAAAGUAAGCUGGUCAUUAAAGAUUGCACCAAGAUUUCUGACCAAAUUGGAUGGUGAAAUCAUGCUGUAGAGUUGGAGCGGCAGGGAAGAUGAGAAGGUCAGUCUUUGCCAGGUUGAGUUGUAGGUGAUGUUUGUUCAUCCAUGCUGAGAUGUCCGCCAGGCAAACUGAGAUCUGUGCAGCUACGGUUGGAUCAUCUGGUUGAAAUGAAAGAUAGACCUGUGUGUCAUCAGCAUUGCAAUGGAAGGAGAAACCAUGUGCCUGUAUGAUGGGUACCAGUGAUGUAGUGUAUAUGGAGAAGAGGAGGGGUCCA
ensembl:lncRNA